GCCCCCCGAAUUGUAGUUUAGAAAGGCGCCAUCGGCCACGCCCGCCGCUCAAAUCCCUUGGAACGGGGUAUCGGAGAAGGUGAGAAUCCUGUGCCGUGGCGGGUAGUGGCUGCACGAUGCGUCGUUGCAGAGUCGGGUUGCUUGGGAUUGCAGCUUGAAGUGGGUGGUAAAUUCCAUCUAAAGCUAAAUACUGGCGAGAGACCGAUAGCGAACAAGUACCGUGAGGGAAAGAUGCAAAGAACUUUGAAAAGAGAGUUAAAGAGUGCUUGAAAUUGGCAGGAGGAAACCCAUUUGUGCCCAGCUUCGCGUCGCCGCCUCAGCCGCCUUUGUGGGCGGUGCACUGUGGCGUCGCGAGUCAGCCGCGUCUUUGCCGGUGCGACACGCCGGAUUGCCAGACCUCGGUAAGCCUUCCGGAACGGCACGGGCGAGGCCCCGGCUGACUGAAUGGGCACAACUGACCCGUCUAGAAACACGGACCAAGGAGUCUGACACGUGUGCGAGUACCCGGGUGGCAAGCCCGCGUGCGCAAUGAAAGUGAAGGGCGUGCCCCGCCAACCGACCUUGAUCUUCUGUGAAGGGUUUGAGUGGAGCGUUCCUGUCGGGACCCGAAAGAUGGUGAACUAUGCCUGUAUAGGUUGAAGUCUGCUGAAAGGCAGAUGGAGGGCCGUAGCGAUACUGACGUGCAAAUCGUUCGUCAAAUAUGGGUAUAGGGGCGAAAGACUAAUCGAACCAUCUAGUAGCUGGUUCCCUCCGAAGUUUCCCUCAGGAUAGCUUGAACGCCGACGGUUUUGU
rnacentral:rRNA from 1 species